ACCUGGGUGGCUCAGUUGGUUAAGCGGCCGACCUCGGCUCAGAUCACGAUCUCACAGUUUGUGGGUUCGAGCCCCACCUCGGGCU
rnacentral:tRNA from 1 species